GACGAACCGUGCGAACGUUAUUCGGAAUCACUGGGCGUAAAGCGCGUGUAGGCGGCCCACUAAGUCUGAUGUGAAAGCCCGGGGCUCACCCCCGGAAGUGCAUUGGAAACUGGUGGACUCGAGUCCCGGAGAGGAGGGUGGAAUUCCUGGUGUAGCGGUGAAAUGCGUAGAUAUCGUAAGGAAGACCAGUGGCGAAGGCGGGUCUCUGGACAGUUCCUGACGCUGAGGCACGAAGGCCAGGGGAGCAAACGGG
rnacentral:rRNA from 1 species